AGUGAACGCUGGCGGUAGGCCUAACACAUGCAAGUCGAACGGCAGCACAGUAAGAGCUUGCUCUUACGGGUGGCGAGUGGCGGACGGGUGAGGAAUACAUCGGAAUCUACUUUUUCGUGGGGGAUAACGUAGGGAAACUUACGCUAAUACCGCAUACGACCUACGGGUGAAAGCAGGGGAUCUUCGGACCUUGCGCGAUUGAAUGAGCCGAUGUCGGAUUAGCUAGUUGGCGGGGUAAAGGCCCACCAAGGCGACGAUCCGUAGCUGGUCUGAGAGGAUGAUCAGCCACACUGGUACUGAGACACGGUCCUGACUCCUACGGGAGGCAGCAGUGGGGAAUAUUGGACAAUGGGCGCAAGCCUGAUCCAGCCAUACCGCGUGGGUGAAGAAGGCCUUCGGGUUGUAAAGCCCUUUUGUUGGGAAAGAAAAGCAGCAGGUUAAUACCCCGCUGUUCUGACGGUACCCAAAGAAUAAGCACCGGCUAACUUCGUG
rnacentral:rRNA from 1 species